rnacentral:rRNA from 1 species
UCGAGAAUCUUCCGCAAUGGACGAAAGUCUGACGGAGCGACGCCGCGUGCGGGAUGAAGGCCCUUGGGUUGUAAACCGCUUUCGGAGGGGAUGAAAUCCUCGAGGGUACUCCCUCGAGGUUGACAGAGCCUCAAAAGAAGCACGGGCUAAGUACGUGCCAGCAGCCGCGGUAACACGUACUGUGCGAACGUUAUUCGGAAUCACUGGGCUUAAAGGGUGCGUAGGCGGCGAUUCAAGUCAGAUGUGAAAUGCCUGAGCUCAACUGAGGCAUUGCGUUUGAAACUGAUUCGCUAGAGUAUUUCAGGGGUGUGCGGAACUGCCAGUGGAGCGGUGAAAUGUGUUGAUAUUGGCAGGAACACCGGAGGCGAAAGCGGCACACUGGGGAAUUACUGACGCUGAGGCACGAAAGCCAGGGGAGCGAACG